GCUACCUGCAGUCGGACGGUAGCACAGAGAGCUUGCUCUUGGGUGACGAGUGGCGGACGGGUGAGUAAUGUCUGGGGAUCUGCCCGAUAGAGGGGGAUAACCACUGGAAACGGUGGCUAAUACCGCAUAACGUCGCAAGACCAAAGAGGGGGACCUUCGGGCCUCUCACUAUCGGAUGAACCCAGAUGGGAUUAGCUAGUAGGCGGGGUAAUGGCCCACCUAGGCGACGAUCCCUAGCUGGUCUGAGAGGAUGACCAGCCACACUGGAACUGAGACACGGUCCAGACUCCUACGGGAGGCAGCAGUGGGGAAUAUUGCACAAUGGGCGCAAGCCUGAUGCAGCCAUGCCGCGUGUAUGAAGAAGGCCUUCGGGUUGUAAAGUACUUUCAGCGGGGAGGAAGGCGGUGAGGUUAAUAACCUUGCCGAUUGACGUUACCCGCAGAAGAAGCACCGGCUAACUCCGUGCCAGCAGCCGCGGUAAUACGGAGGGUGCAAGCGUUAAUCGGAAUUACUGGGCGUAAAGCGCACGCAGGCGGUCUGUUAAGUCAGAUGUGAAAUCCCCGGGCUUAACCUGGGAACUGCAUUUGAAACUGGCAGGCUUGAGUCUCGUAGAGGGGGGUAGAUUCCA
rnacentral:rRNA from 1 species